rnacentral:rRNA from 1 species
GACGGGGGAUGCAAGUGUUAUCCGGAAUCACUGGGCGUAAAGCGUCUGCAGGUGGUUUCCUAAGUCCACUGUUAAACCUUGAGGCUCAACCUCAAAUCUGCAUUGGAAACUAGGAGACUUGAGUAUAGUAGGGGUAGAGGGAAUUUCCAGUGGAGCGGUGAAAUGCGUAGAUAUUGGAAAGAACACCGAUGGCGAAGGCACUCUACUGGGCUAUUACUGACACUCCGAGACGAAAGCUAGGGGAGCAAACAGG